GAUGAACGCUGGCGGCGUGCCUAAUACAUGCAAGUCGAGCGAACGGACGAGAAGCUUGCUUCUCUGCUGUUAGCGGCGGACGGGUGAGUAACACGUGGAUAACCUACCUAUAAGACUGGGAUAACUUCGGGAAACCGGAGCUAAUACCGGAUAAUAUUUUGAACCGCAUGGUUCAAAAGUGAAAGACGGUCUUGCUGUCACUUAUAGAUGGAUCCGCGCUGCAUUAGCUAGUUGGUAAGGUAACGGCUUACCAAGGCAACGAUGCAUAGCCGACCUGAGAGGGUGAUCAGCCACACUGGAACUGAGACACGGUCCAGACUCCUACGGGAGGCAGCAGUAGGGAAUCUUCCGCAAUGGGCGAAAGCCUGACGGAGCAACGCCGCGUGAGUGAUGAAGGUCUUCGGAUCGUAAAACUCUGUUAUUAGGGAAGAACAUAUGUGUAAGUAACUGUGCACAUCUUGACGGUACCUAAUCAGAAAGCCACGGCUAACUACGUG
rnacentral:rRNA from 1 species